UACGUAGGGUGCGAGCGUUGUCCGGAUUUAUUGGGCGUAAAGAGCUCGUAGGCGGUUUGUCGCGUCGGCCGUGAAAUCUCCACGCUUAACGUGGAGCGUGCGGUCGAUACGGGCAGACUUGAGUUCGGUAGGGGAGACUGGAAUUCCUGGUGUAGCGGUGAAAUGCGCAGAUAUCAGGAGGAACACCGGUGGCGAAGGCGGGUCUCUGGGCCGAUACUGACGCUGAGGAGCGAAAGCCAGGGGAGCAAACGGG
rnacentral:rRNA from 1 species